GACAGAGGGGGCAAGCGUUGUCCGGAUUUACUGGGCGUACAGCGCGCGCAGGCGGUCGUGUAGGUACCUGGUGACAGUCUCGGGCUCAACUCGAGGGGGUCUGGGUAGACCGCACGACUGGAGGCAGGGAGAGGGAUGUGGAAUACCCGGUGGAGCGGUGAAAUGCGUAGAGAUCGGGUGGAACACCAGUGGCGAAGGCGGCAUCCUGGACCGACACUGACGCUGAGGCGCGAAAGCUAGGGUAGCAAACGGG
rnacentral:rRNA from 1 species